ensembl:lncRNA
CACACCCUCCCUAUCCCAUGCGCCGCCUUCGCUGUCAUUUCAGUGGCCGGAAUGUAAAGAUUAUAAAUAUUUGUAUUAUUCAAAGUGUCCAUUGCCUAAAAGUCACGAGUGUUUAAUCGUGACCGACUGCUCCUGAACGUGACGUCAGACGUGUAAUCUCAGUUUAUCCAGAACAGGCGUGCAAUUCAACAUCGGAGGAGUUUCUCAUUGCCUCGUCUCUCCAAGUAACGUUGAGGGAUUAAGGACGCCAGCCGUUUGCUGUGGUCAAUUGAAAGUGUUCCAUAGCGUAUUGUUGCAGUUAGUUUACCUUGUUCCUAAUGAUUUUAUCAUUCAUUUUUUAUUAUUGUACACAUGCUGCAUAUUUUAUGUUUUGUUCUUGGUUACAAAUGUCUAACAUUUUUGUCCUACUGCAUCUAAUUAACUCCAACCACUAUGACCAA